UACGUAGGUGACCAGCGUUGUCCGGAUUUACUGGGCGUAAAGAGCGCGCAGGCGGUCGUUCAAGUCGAGUGUGAAAGCCCCCGGCUCAACUGGGGAGGGUCAUUCGAUACUGAUCGACUCGAAGGCAGGAGAGGGUAGUGGAAUUCCAGGUGUAGCGGUGAAAUGCGUAGAUAUCUGGAGGAACACCGGUGGCGAAGGCGGCAUCCUGGACCGACACUGACGCUGAGGAGCGAAAGCCAGGGGAGCAAACGGG
rnacentral:rRNA from 1 species